UAUAUCUACGCAUUUCACCGCUACACAGGAAAUUCCACCACCCUCUACCGUACUCUAGCUCAGUAGUUUUGGAUGCAGUUCCCAGGUUGAGCCCGGGGAUUUCACAUCCAACUUGCUGAACCACCUACGCGCGCUUUACGCCCAGUAAUUCCGAUUAACGCUUGCACCCUUCGUAUUACCGCGGCUGCUGGCACGAAGUUAGCCGGUGCUUAUUCUGUUGGUAACGUCAAAACAGCAAGGUAUUAACUUACUGCCCUUCCUCCCAACUUAAAGUGCUUUACAAUCCGAAGACCUUCUUCACACACGCGGCAUGGCUGGAUCAGGCUUUCGCCCAUUGUCCAAUAUUCCCCACUGCUGCCUCCCGUAGGAGUCUGGACCGUGUCUCAGUUCCAGUGUGACUGAUCAUCCUCUCAGACCAGUUACGGAUCGUCGCCUUGGUAGGCCUUUACCCCA
rnacentral:rRNA from 1 species